GCGCAUACCCAAUGGGCCCGUGUUGCCUGCCCGGCAACACCCUUGUCUCAACGAAGAAAAAUAGCGCGGCUGAAUUUACAAUAAAAGCUUGAAGAUAUAUCCAGACGCAUAUCUAGCAACGACGUCCAGUAUGAGUAUCAGCUCGUACAAAUCACCUUCAUGCCAUUCAGCCUUGCACGCCCAAGGGUGGACACAUUAAAAUGUCCAUGUCUUAUUCGAACCAUUGUUGGAUGGAACAGACUCGACGCCAAUGCGUUCACAGCAUGCCACUCAGCCGAAACGUUCCAGCAGAGGCUGGAAAUGCUUUUUGUGUAAAUGAGUCUCAAGUGUUCUCCUCCCACUCUGUAACAGCCCGUAAGGGAUUAAAAGUAUUGGAAAUAAAACAGCAGCCAGCAGACGACUUAGUGGCCCGAGCUAGUAGACAACUUUGGUCAAUGGGUGAAAGAGGUUAUAGAUAUACAAACUUAAAAGUGGGUGUGCGACGUCCGUAGGAUGAUUAAAGUGGGGAAGGGUGUUGUGAUUUGAAAGAAAAUAAUGUUACUAUAGGUCGAUCGUAUACGAAUAAAAAGUUUGAUAAUUUUACGUGAAGAUGUAGCAGAUGCCAGAAAAAAAAUUAUCGUCGGCUGGGAAAGUUUCUGCUCGCCAUCACUAUGCUCCCUUACACCAGCAACGACGACAACAAUGAUGGUCAUAAUGUAAUUGCUGUUACAAUACAUGUGAGUGUACAACAACAACAACAACAACAAAAGAGAAGCCACAAGGACUGUGACGCCUGCGAAUGGCGGCAGCGGCAACGUUACAUUCGUGCGAAAAUUCUGUUUAUCCCAUCACGACACGGUGAUGAGAUGGGUAAUGAAGCAUGCCAACAAUGUAACUCACAGAAUGCGGUAUACGUUAGCCACUUACUCAAGCUAUCAGUUGACAAGGAGCGUCUCGUUCUCAGCUGAUGGUUCUCUCCCUGCCCGUCCGAUCCAUCGAAGCACAGAAGGAGACCGAUGUGAAACCAGGCCUGCGCAAAUAAAAAUCCAGUAGUGGAGUACGACGACUCAGUUGCGUGAACAUUUAAAUUGGCGGGCACGACAACAUUGGUUACCUAAAGAGAAAAGCAGAUGGUGAAAGUGGACGCGAAUUCUAACUGUUCCUCGUACAACUGCAUCCCCCCCUCUCUUUUUUUCAGCGUGCAGGAUCAUAACAGGAUGGUCUGCGCAAACAAAUAUCGCUACAAUCACCUGUGCAUCGAGUUUCCUGAAAAAUGUAACAGAUCCCCUGUUUGUUUGACUGGCAUAAUGUGAAAGUGUUGUCGCACUUUCAGGAUGAUUAAGCUGGUUAUCGAUGGUGUUUAGACUGGGCCAGACUGUAGGCAUCCGCUAAAUUUCUAACGUAAAUAAUGCCAGAGGUUGGGGGAAGCCUGACAUUCUGUUUCGACUUUUUGUAGAAUGGCCUGCAGGUUGAACGGUGAACCAUCGAGUUUGAAAACAUUUGAACGCACUCAUUUCGGCGCCAACACGGCUUGUAUAGACAGCUAGCGCCAUCUAUGUAGUGAAAAGGAAAGGUACCCGUAGUACUGCGAGUAAUUACUACUCGAAAUUGCUGCGUAAUAUGGGGUGAACAAAAGUUAUGUGAAUACUUAUUGACACUAAUUACUUAUAUAGAUAAACUCACAACAUAAGUGUGCGAUUGAGGACAUUUGUGCAAUAAAGGGUAUUAUGCACAAAAUUUCU
rnacentral:lncRNA from 1 species